rnacentral:rRNA from 1 species
GACGAACGCUGGCGGCGUGCUUAACACAUGCAAGUCGAACGGAAAGGCCCUGCUUUUGUGGGGUGCUCGAGUGGCGAACGGGUGAGUAACACGUGAGUAACCUGCCCUUGACUUUGGGAUAACUUCAGGAAACUGGGGCUAAUACCGGAUAGGAGCUCCUGCUGCAUGGUGGGGGUUGGAAAGUUUCGGCGGUUGGGGAUGGACUCGCGGCUUAUCAGCUUGUUGGUGGGGUAGUGGCUUACCAAGGCUUUGACGGGUAGCCGGACUGAGAGGGUGACCGGCCACAUUGGGACUGAGAUACGGCCCAGACUCCUACGGGAGGCAGCAGUGGGGAAUAUUGCACAAUGGGCGGAAGCCUGAUGCAGCAACGCCGCGUGCGGGAUGACGGCCUUCGGGCUGUAAACCGCUUUCGCCUGUGACGAAGCGUGAGUGACGGUAAUGGGUAAAGAAGCACCGGCUAACUACGUG